GCCGGAUUGACUGCACGCUAGACGUCUGAUUAGCUAGUUGGUGAGGUAAAGGCUUACCAAGGCUUCGAUCAGUAGCUGGUCUGAGAGGACGACCAGCCACACUGGGACUGAGACACGGCCCAGACUCCUACGGGAGGCAGCAGUGGGGAAUUUUGGACAAUGGGGGAAACCCUGAUCCAGCCAUGCCGCGUGAGUGAAGAAGGCCUUCGGGUUGUAAAGCUCUUUCAGCCGGAACGAAAAGGUUACGGUUAAUACCCGUGACUAAUGACGGUACCGGAAGAAGAAGCACCGGCUAACUACGUGCCAGCAGCCGCGGUAAUACGUAGGGUGCGAGCGUUAAUCGGAAUUACUGGGCGUAAAGCGUGCGCAGGCGGUUUUGUAAGUCAGAUGUGAAAUCCCCGGGCUCAACCUGGGAACUGCGUUUGAAACU
rnacentral:rRNA from 1 species